ensembl:lncRNA
UGACUUUAAUUUAGUUUCAAUAGGUAGUUUUUCAAACUUACCAGUUAUCUUCAUGAGAAGCCAUCUUUAUUUUACACAAUUUGUGACUCUGCAUAGUAAGUCACAUACAGGCCAGCAGUUAGUACAGCAGUAAGAAAAGGCAAGUCAGGAAUGCAUAUUUACAAGCAUGAUGCAAUACUUAACACUUAGUGGCGCUUUUAAAGAACAAAAGACAAAACAAUUAAGACGAUACAUUAUAAAAACAUUGGUGCUGUGAAGUCACAUGUUCAUCCAAAGUGUCCAAAACAUAUAGAGAGAGGUAGGAGGGGCGGCAUCAGAGAAACGUAUAGAGAGGUAGGAGGGGUGGAGUCAGAGAAACAUAUAGAGAGGUAGGAGGGGUGGAGUCAGAGAAACAUAUAGAGAGGUAGGAGGGGUGGAGUCAGAGAAACAUAUAGAGAGGUAGGAGGGGUGGAGUCAGAGAAACAUAUAGAGAGGUAGGAGGGGUGGAGUCAGAGAAACAUAUAGAGAGGUAGGAGGGCUGGAGUCAGAGAAACAUAUAGAGAGGUAGG